CUCUACCAUUGAGCUAUAUCCGCAGCUGUCUUUGACCAUUUUUAAAUUGGACGGUGACAGCAAAAUCACUGAGAAGUUUGCAAUAUUGAAGAACAGAAGAAAACAUUUUUAACAAAAUAUUGUGAAAUACCCCAGAAUGAAAAGCAGGGUUACCUGGCUGGAUGACACGCAGAGAUGUGGCCCGACUUCUCAAGAGAAGCUUUCCUUCACACUUCUUACCGUACCCUUAAUUGGAAAAACUGGGUCUUGCUAAGUCACUUGGUUGCCCAGCCUGGCUUUGAACUUAUCAUCCUCCUGCCUCAGAUCCCCAGAGUGGUGAGAUUAACAAGUUAGUCCUCGAAGGUCUUCUUCCGGUGAGGCUCCUAAAGAUGAUGCUGAAGCCAAGUGUAUCUUCUCCUGUCUCCAUUCUCAUGCCCUGGGGCCACCUUGGUUAAUGGGUCUUUCGGAUUUCUUCCCUGAGGUGGUUACAGCUUCUGGAUUUGUUUGAAAAAUCUUAGAUCCUCUUUCUGACUCUGCUAUUAUUAUGGGGUUCCCCCCAUCAGCCAGAAACUGCAUUUGACUCAAGCUCUUAGAAUUUCAUAGUUUUGAAAGUCCUUAAAGGUCAUCAAGUCUAACAUCUCCAUCCUACUCACCUUCUGAUAUUUGAAUCUUCUCUGUACCAGAAGAAGUAUCUCAAGUGCCUUUCUAACUUUUGUUUGAAUGCCUCCAAUGACAAGGAACUUACUACUUCACAAGCAUCUCAUUUCAUCUGCCUAUGAAGUUUCUUAUUCUACUGAAUUGUCGUCUAAAUCCUGGCUUCUACCUACUGAAAGAGACAGUUCAUCACUGAAGAAGAAAUCAAGUCAAAUUGGCUAGCAGGAAGAAACUCUUUGGGAAUCCUUAGCUUCAUUAGAAGUACACUUUUGUUCAAAUGAAGUGUUAAAAUUAAAGCAGUAUAUAUCUGAGUGGGGCCAAUUGGCAUGAACUCAUCACAGCAUAUGGUGUGCUUCCUUUUAUAUGCAUGUUUAGCAGCUAGUGGGUACCAAACCUCGCACAGCUCUCAAUUGCUAGCACUAAUGAAGGAUCUGUUUGCCUUUGGGGAUAAAGAUGGUAUCACUGAUUCACAGUUGUUUUUCCAGGAGUGAAGAACAGAUUUUACUUCCUCAUUCAAACUCUUGCUUGGUCCUUUCCCUUCCCCACUACCACUGUCCUAAUUCAGGCACCAUUCUCUCUUGCCAGGAUUGUUCACUUGCCUCUACCUGGCCUUCCAGCUUCCAGUUCUGGCCCUCUCUGGUCUAAGGUAACAUUGCCAGGGGAAUCUUAAUGUCACAGAUUUGAGGUAUCACUUCUGGAUCAAAAUGCUUCAGUGACUCCUCUUAGCUCCAGCAUGGAGUCUAAAUUUCUUAGCAUGGCAAAUAGGUAGGGAAAAGUCAGAGGGUCACAUGUGGACUAGGAUAAGGUUAAUUGUUCUCAAUCAGGAACAACUGAGGCUCCAAAGUCGUAUAGUGCCUUCUAGAACAAUAGGUCAUAUAUGUAUAACUGCAAAUUACACAAUUAAUUUACUG
rnacentral:lncRNA from 1 species